UAAUAAUUUCUGUCAAAAUCCCCAAAAUCUCCAAAAUCGUUGCAUCCUCAGAUUCUUUCUAUCAGAUUGAAAAUCCCCAAAAUCCAUCUUCUCAAUUGCAACCAUAGCUCCCGAUUUUCCCAAAGCCCAUCUCUUCUCAAAUGCAAAUCAUGAAUUCCCGAUUUUGAUUCUCAAUCAACUGUGCGUCUUGUGGAUCUUAGUUUAGGGCUAAAGGAAACAAUCACGUACGCAUCUCGGGCGACUGGCCGAAGACGAAAACUCCUUAGCAGCGUGGUCAUCCCCCCGACGGUAAUCUUUCUUUUAUUGUUCAUUAUUAAGCUUAAUUGGAUUGCAGCGUGGUCAUCCCUCACCUCCUUAGUUGGAUUGCAGAAUGUUUUUAUUAAGCUUAAUCUUACCUGUUAGUCAAUCAGUUCAUCUUGUGGAAAGAUAGAUUGCUAGAAGGUUUAUUUAAGGGUAUUAUUAGUACUAGAUUGGAAAGCUAAAGUAUUGGUUUCUUUAAAGCUCUGUGGUAAGCUAAAGAUUGAAAGUUUUGAAUGUUAGAGUAAAAAGUAGAGAAAAAAAGACAGUUUGGAGGCUAUGAUUUUUAUAUUUGGUUACUUUAAACACGAUGAGCUCUUAUCCAAGUCUCUAUAUCCCAUAGAUGGUAGAUCUCUCUCUACAUCACAUAUACUAAUCCUGACUAUAUAUAUUAUAAUAUGGGCCUAUUCUUCUCCCACUUGUUAAUUUUUUAUUUUCUCUUUUUAAUAAUAGUAAUAUAGAAUAAUAAAAUAUCUUUAAUAUUUUAAUAUAAUUUUGUUAUCAGUUCAUCUUGUGGAAAGAUAGAAUGAGAUUGGUUUAUUUAAGGGUAUUAUUAGUACUAGAUUGGAAAGCUAAAGUAUUGCUUUCUAAGGAUCUAAUAAUAAUAAUAAUAAUAAUAAUAAUAAUAAUAAUAAUUUGACAAAUUUUAAUGAUGUUCUGUUCAGAAAGGAUGCCUCUUGAUCGAAGUUGGAUUGAUAGGCGAGUUGCUGAAAAUGGAAGAACAAUUAGUGAAGAAUUUAGAGAGGGAGUAAAGGAAUUCCUCAAUUUUGCUUACUCUAUUCCUGGG
rnacentral:lncRNA from 1 species